AAUGAACGCUGGCGGCUGGCCUAACACAUGCAAGUCGAACGGAUCCUUCGGGAUUAGUGGCGGGCGGGUGAGUAACGCGUGGGAACGUGCCCUUUGGUUCGGAAUAGCCUCGGGAAACUGGGAGUAAUACCGGAUAAGCCCUUCGGGGGAAAGAUUUAUCGCCAAAGGAUCGGCCCGCGUUGGAUUAGGUAGUUGGUGGGGUAAUGGCCUACCAAGCCGACGAUCCAUAGCUGGUUUGAGAGGAUGAUCAGCCACACUGGGACUGAGACACGGCCCAGACUCCUACGGGAGGCAGCAGUGGGGAAUCUUAGACAAUGGGGGAAACCCUGAUCUAGCCAUGCCGCGUGAUCGAUGAAGGCCUUAGGGUUGUAAAGAUCUUUCAGUUGGGAAGAUAAUGACGGUACCAGCAGAAGAAGCCCCGGCUAACUCCGUGCCAGCAGCCGCCGUAACAC
rnacentral:rRNA from 1 species